UUAGUACUCCCUCCGUCCAACAAAAGAUGUCUCAAGUUUGUCAAAAUUUGGAUGUAUCUAGACAUGACUUAGUGUAUAGAUGCAUUCAAAUUUAGUCAAAAUUGAGACAUCCUUUGUUGGACGGAGGGAGUACAUC
rnacentral:pre_miRNA from 1 species